rnacentral:rRNA from 1 species
UGACCUGCUAAAUAGACGGGUUGACAUUUUGUUGGCCCCUUAUGUCUUCUUAGAGGGACAAUCGACCGUCUAGGUGAUGGAGGCAAAAGGCAAUAACAGGUCUGUGAUGCCCUUAGAUGUUCCGGGCUGCACGCGCGCUACACUGACAGAGACAACGAGUGGUGCCCCUUGUCCGAAAUGACUGGGUAAACUUGUGAAACUUUGUCGUGCUGGGGAUGGAGCUUUGUAAUUUUUGCUCUUCAACGAGGAAUUCCUAGUAAGCGCAAGUCAUCAGCUUGCGUUGACUACGUCCCUGCCCUUUGUACACACCGCCCGUCGCU